UACAGAGGGUGCGAGCGUUAAUCGGAAUUACUGGGCGUAAAGCGUGCGCAGGCGGUAAUGUAAGACAGAUGUGAAAUCCCCGGGCUCAACCUGGGACCUGCAUUUGUGACUGCAUUGCUGGAGUGCGGCAGAGGGGGAUGGAAUUCCGCGUGUAGCAGUGAAAUGCGUAGAUAUGCGGAGGAACACCGAUGGCGAAGGCAAUCCCCUGGGCCUGCACUGACGCUCAUGCACGAAAGCGUGGGGAGCAAACAGG
rnacentral:rRNA from 1 species